rnacentral:rRNA from 1 species
GGGCCCGCACAAGCGGCGGAGCAUGCGGAUUAAUUCGAUGCAACGCGAAGAACCUUACCAAGGCUUGACAUGAGAGGUAAUCCGGCAGAGAUGUCGGGUCCGUAAGGGCCUCUCACAGGUGGUGCAUGGUUGUCGUCAGCUCGUGUCGUGAGAUGUUGGGUUAAGUCCCGCAACGAGCGCAACCCUUGUUCUAUGUUGCCAGCGCGUAAUGGCGGGGACUCAUAGGAGACUGCCGGGGUCAACUCGGAGGAAGGUAGGGAUGAGGUCAAAUCAUCAUGCCCCUUAUGUCUUGGGCUUCACGCAUGCUACAAUGGCCAGUACAAAGGGCUGCGAGACCGUAAGGUGGAGCGAAUCCCAAAAAGCUGGUCUCAGUUCGGAUCGGGGUCUGCAACUCGACCCCGUGAAGUCGGAGUCGCUAGUAAUCGCAGAUCAGCAACGCUGCGGUGAAUACGUUCCCGGGCCUU